rnacentral:tRNA from 1 species
GCCGUAAUAGCUCAGUUCGGAGAGCGUCAGACUGAAGAUCUGAAGGUCCCUGGUUCAACCCCGCGUUUCGCUA